ensembl:snoRNA small nucleolar RNA SNORA2/SNORA34 family
CUGGCCCUGAAUCAAGGCCGACAGCUUCCUGACAAUGGUGGUUUCAAGCAGGAGCCUAAAGAGAUGUAUUUCUAUGGUCUGUUGGCCAUUUCAGAACUUGGGCGGUGAAGUGGUCAAUUCAUUAGAAAGAAACAGCU